GCUUAAUAUAUCUGAUUUGCAGUAACGCAUUUUAUCUUCAGUUUUCACAUUUUAAAAUAAUAUUCCUAUCAUAUGUUAUUUUAAUUAAUGAUCCACCUGUGCUAUAUGAUCUUCAGCAUCACCAAUAAUUAGUUUAAUAAAAGACACUAAUAUUCUAAUUUUUUCCCCCUUUUCAUCUGUAUGCAGGCUGGGUUUACAUCACAAAUAUUGUUCUAGGUCAAAAUUAUUGACAUUGACUAUUUAUAUUAAUAAUUGAAAUGCGUGGAAAAAUAUUUUGAUCAUUUUUGAUACACAGCUUUAAGGGGUUUGAACAUCAAAGAGCUUUUGGAUGAUGCAGCAGGGGAAGUAGGAGCUUU
rnacentral:misc_RNA from 1 species